CUGGCGCAGCGAUACAGGCAAAUGUCGACAAAAAUCAACAUUACGCAUUCGAAGAUCUCUUGUGCCAGUAUGUUUUGAGGAAUGGACGGAACAGUGAAAGUGCUCUCAAUCUGAGAAGGAAAUUUCUAGAGAAUGGCAUGAAGGAAUAUGCUGACGUCAUCAAAGCAGAACUAGAGAAGUUUAGAAUUCCUGUCCCGUCAGACAAAGAAACACUCAAGGACUGACUUGUAUCCUCCCCGAGCCAUCCUUGCGGCACACCAGUUGCAUGGAAGUAAGUGAUGAAUUUGACAAGAUCUUGCGGAGGGUAGCCGAGUUUAUGAGUGAUGAUUAAGAAAUCGACCGCCUUGCUUCGGAACUGGACGUCAGCGUACCAGAUACCGAACGCUUCAUCCGAAAAAUGAUGGCGUCACUUGGAGAGGUACCCUCGACAUGCUGAGGACAUGGCGCAAAAGGGUUGAUAAAUCGCAGGAACGUGUAAGACUUAGGGCUGCUCUACUUAGGGCUGAACAGAUUAACCUUGUGAGCACCCUACUACCAGAAGAGGAGGAUUAAUAAUUGAAGAGAAAGAUGAGUUCUGAGAAAGGUGGAAAAUGAUUUUGAGCCCCUUUCUUCUAUUCUCUUUAUGUUAGUGUGAAAAAUAACAUAGUUUAAAAAAUCCCCUGAAAAAAAGGGGCACUUCAAAAAACCCUUACAUUCGAAAUAUACCAAGGAACAGAUGAACUGUUCAGACAAAAUUUAAUGCCACAUGUGUGUGUAAUCCCAUAUACACAUUUCUAUUUACAAUGCACGUGACAUCCAGCUAGACUGUUUUAGCUGUCGAUGAUUCCGGUAGUACACCAAUUCCUAAGUGCUACAUAAUCAACCUUUUCAAAUUGUUAAAGCUCCUCUCCCCAAUGUUUUCAUAUUUCCCUUUUUUAAAUCGCGACGGACAUGGAAAACGAAUGCAAAUAACCCCAAGUUCCUCAAGUCUCCCUAAACCUUAUUUUAGGCCCGCUACUGCACAUGACCACCUUUUUACAGGAGUUAGCUAGAUUUCAACCCACAUCGACAUGGGAUGACGAGUGACGAAGCAGAACUAACUGAACUACAGCACAAAAUAGCACUUUGUUACAAUAUUUUGUUCAACAAGUCAGGUUACCCCCAGAACAGUGUUCAUAUUGUCCUGAGUGAAUCUUCUUGUUCAAAAUGUGUUUUGUUUGUCUGGUGUUUUUGUUUUUUAAACGUAAACGUGCUUUCACUGAGGUAUUUGUCUCAAAACUGUUUACAGCUAGUAACACCAGAGGUGACAGUAGCGUCUCUAGAUAUUGUGGCACCUGUUUUGUGGCACCAUUGUUUGUGAUUGAAUUAUUACAAGUUUCUCUUUUUUUAUGUUUCAUUUUUAUUUUGUUACAUUAUCCCAUGUUCUUUCAAACAAAUAGUGGCUUCUAAAAAUAUAUUAUUGGCUGACGAAAUAUUCCUUGUCUCAUAUUCAAUGUGUCAUAUUUUAUACCACAGUACUUCUACAUCUUCCCCGUUCAGUGUUUAAAACUCGAUUAAAUUUCAUUAUACAAAUAGGGGAAUGACCCAGCUGUCUUUCCCUUUCUUUUUCUACGUAAGAAAGGAGUUUUUAUAUUCAUUGCAUUGAAAUGAUGUACGGCUGUAUAUGCAUAGUUUGUUUGAUUAAAAAUGCAUUAGACGUA
rnacentral:lncRNA from 1 species